UAGAAUCCAGUGUAUUGGUAGCACGAAGAAUUUUGAAUUCUCAGGGGUAGGUUGGAUUCAUAUGGCUCUAG
rnacentral:tRNA from 1 species